rnacentral:rRNA from 1 species
UCCAACCUGCCGUCUACUCUUGGACAGCCUUCUGAAAGGAAGAUUAAUACAAGAUGGCAUCAUGAGUCCGCAUGUUCACAUGAUUAAAGGGUAUUCCGGUAGACGAUGGGGAUGCGUUCCAUUAGAUAGUAGCGGGGUAACGGCCCACCUAGUCUUCGAUGGAUAGGGGUUCUGAGAGGAAGGUCCCCCACAUUGGAACUGAGACACGGUCCAAACUCCUACGGGAGGCAGCAGUGAGGAAUAUUGGUCAAUGGGCGAGAGCCUGAACCAGCCAAGUAGCGUGAAGGAUGACUGCCCUAUGGGUUGUAAACUUCUUUUAUAAAGGAAUAAAGUCGGGUAUGCAUACCCGUUUGCAUGUACUUUAUGAAUAAGGAUCGGCUAACUCCGUG